rnacentral:rRNA from 1 species
GCCCGCACAAGCGGUGGAGCAUGUGGUUUAAUUCGAUGCAACGCGAAGAACCUUACCUACUCUUGACAUCCAGAGAACUUUCCAGAGAUGGAUUGGUGCCUUCGGGAACUCUGAGACAGGUGCUGCAUGGCUGUCGUCAGCUCGUGUUGUGAAGUGUUGGGUUAAGUCCCGCAACGAGCGCAACCCUUAUCCUUUGUUGCCAGCGGUCCGGCCGGGAACUCAAAGGAGACUGCCAGUGAUAAACUGGAGGAAGGUGGGGAUGACGUCAAGUCAUCAUGGCCCUUACGAGUAGGGCUACACACGUGCUACAAUGGCGCAUACAAAGAGAAGCGAACUCGCGAGAGCAAGCGGACCUCAUAAAGUGCGUCGUAGUCCGGAUUGGAGUCUGCAACUCGACUCCAUGAAGUCGGAAUCGCUAGUAAUCGUAGAUCAGAAUGCUACGGUGAAUACGUUCCCGGGCCCUGUACACACCGCCCGUCACACCAUGGGAGUGGGUUGCAAAAGAAGUAGGUAGCUUAACCUUCGGGAGGGCGCUUACCACUUUGUGAUUCAUGACUGGGGUGAAGUCGUAACAAGGUA